AUCUGGGAAAUUAAUAUAAGUUUUACAUUCUAAUUCAUUAAUUUCGUAAUAUCGUUUUGUAAAAUGGAAUUUUAAGCGUUUGUAAGGAAUACUUAGAUUUGGUAACAUGAAAUGUGUUUUGACGAUAAAAUUAGCUUUGUUUGGUGCAAAAUUUUACUUGCGUAAAUGUGGUGUUUCUUUCUAUGCAUUUCGUCUGAAAAAUUAAUAUACACGUGCUCCGCAAACAGUUUCACCAUAGCCUGAGCGCAGAAAAUCUACGUGUAUUUCGAUCUACUUCAGCCGCGUUCCACGAUUCCAUCAUCUUCUGGUGUAAGAAACGAAUAAAAGAAGCUGGCUUUCUGAGAGCAGUGGACUGCGUCGAAGGAUCUUCGAAGGAACGAUCGUUGAGAGACGGGCGAGCGAAGAAGGCGGAGGAACUAGACAUCCGAAAACGAUGCCCCCCCCCCCCUGCAACUAAUUACCAUCCCCGUACGUGCAGCCAUAAAGCUAUCGAGCCCACGACCACGCUCGAUCCCUCGAUUGAAUUUCAAAUCGGCCGGCCAAUUAAAAAAAGAAAGAGAAGAGGAGGAAGAGAAUCGCUCUCGAGCCGCUUGGCCAAUUAAGAAGAAAAAAAGCAGAAAGAAGAGAAACAAACAAACUGAAGAAACGGCGAGCGAAAGAAAAGGAAAAAAGGGAAAAAGGCAGGGACGAAGAAAAGAAACGUAGAACGAGAAAAGGCAGCCGCGUUAAAAUGAACGACGAUUCACGGACAAGAAGGAAAGAGAACGAGUCUAAGUAGAUCGUAUCGCGUUCCAGGCAAUUAUUCUGCAAGUCAGGUGCAGUUACGGCUGCCUUGCAACGGCACAGCUUUCCAGCCAGGGGCAAUCGGUUUCGAUCGGCAACACAGGCUGGCGGUAAUGUAAUCGCGAAAAAGGUAGCCCGUGUAACGGCGAUAAGACGCGGGACGACGUGAAAUCUCGAAAGAUUCGUCGCUAUAUUACGCGAGAGAGAAAAGGAGCAUCGAUCUUAUCAAUGGCUGCUGGUACACGAAGGAUUGUCACGAACGUACGUACAUUGUGAUAAGAGUAAAGAGACGUAGGUUGGAUUCGAAUCGGUGUAAGAUUGUCACGGUGAUUCAGCUGGAAUUAUUAUCGUCCCGUUUCUCGUUCACGCUGCUCUUUAACCGAGAUAAUCGAUGCACCACCCCACGAUCGCUUAAUUACUGCUCGCUCCUGUCCCUCGUGUAUCUUUGGUACGUGCACGUAAGCAUUCGGCUGUCGCGUCCUCGUCGUUGGAAACAGCACGUCGACAAAUGGCCAUUUUUCAAUCUCCUUGCGAACGAAAAAAGAAAAAAGAACAAAUUCUGGAGCACGAAAGAUCCACGUUUAAGAGCAUCUCUCAAGAAACGACAAACGCGAUUUAUACGAAACGCGAUGGAAUGGCUGAGAAAGACGAGCGCGAAGAUGAAAAGAAGGUGGCAGCAGUCGAGGAAUUUACCAAUACGUCGAUGAAAUAAUUCUGUGGAUAUUCUGCUGGUAAAUCGAUCGAAAUUUGGACCUUGUUGUUGGCUCGCGUUAUUUGUUCUGUUUUAAACUUCCAUCGAUUUGUCAGCAGAGUUUGCGAAGGAUCAUCACGUGGAUACCGAUGAACGAUUAUUCCAUAGCUGGAUAAGCGGAUAGAUCUUUUCUGGUUGACGCUUUUGCAUUUCCUGCAAGGAUUUUUCGUCCGCCAAGGAGACGCAAAAAUGGCCAUUUCUUAAGAUUCUCCUUUACCUCGCGCUUUCGUAUUUCGUUGGACAUUAUUUAUGGCAGGAUGUCGCGCCGGGUUGUUGGAAAGUUUGCAGCGAAAUUUAAUCCUGCUACGAUCCUUCAACUUUUAUUUCUCAAUCUUACUCUCGUGUUAGAAAAGAGAAAGUAUUUGCGAUGCUGCAAGAAGAUAUUUAAAAUAAAAUUGAAACGAGCUUAUGGACCUUCCUCGUAUUUUCUUCGAACCGUGAAGAUAUUUUGCAACAUUUGGGAAAAUGUAAUUGGAUGGAAAAUAAUGGGAAGAACUUAGUAACUUAGGCUCAAGAAAGAUUUAAAGUUCUAACUUGUAGCAAAGUAUCUUAUCGGGUAAUAACGGUAGCUAAUUAUGUUCGAAAGUGUUUGUAACUUUUAGACAUUUUCAUAGUAUUUUUACGCGAUUACAAAAAUGUCAUACCGUGGAAAUGCGAGGAUCGACGCAAAAACUCUUCGUUGGAAAAUAAGCACGUAGAGAU